GGGCACGACACCGGAGAGGGAGCCUGAGAAACGGCUACCACAUCCAAGGAUGGCAGCAGGCGCGCAAAUUACCCAAUCCCGACACGGGGAGGUAGNGACAAUAAAUAACAAUACGGGGUUCUUUAGGAUCUCGUAAUUGGAAUGAGUACAAUUUAAAUCUCUUAACGAGGAACAAUUGGAGGGCAAGUCUGGUGCCAGCAGCCGCGGUAAUUCCAGCUCCAAUAGCGUAUAUUAAAGUUGUUGCAGUUAAAAAGCUCGUAGUUGAAUUUCGGGGUUAGUAGGUUGGUCAUGCCUCUGGUAUGUACUGGUCUCACUGAUUCCUCCUUCCUUAUGAACCGUAAUGCCAUUAAUUUGGUGUUGCGGGGAAUUUGGACUGUUACUUUGAAAAAAUUAGAGUGUUUAAAGCAAGCUAACGCUUGAAUACAUUAGCAUGGAAUAAUGAAAUAGGACGUUCGAUCUUAUUUUGUUGGUUUCUAGGAUUGACGUAAUGAUUAAUAGGGAUAGUUGGGGGCAUUAGUAUUCAAUUGUCAGAGGUGAAAUUCUUGGAUUUAUUGAAGACUAACUACUGCGAAAGCAUUUGCCAAGGAUGUUUU
rnacentral:rRNA from 1 species